rnacentral:lncRNA from 1 species
AGAAGGGGCCUGGGGACUGGCCCGUGUCAUCGAUGGAGUCAUGGGCACUGGUAGUUUUACUGCAGCGCACCCACCCUGCUUGUCCCCUGUGCCUGUGCCUUCUCUUAGGGACGCCAUUGCAAGAAGAAGCAUGCCUCCAAGAGACAAGAGGACAGAACAAGACACAAUAAGGCAAAAGCUCUCAUAUGGAGGGUGGACAGGGCAACCCAAGAGGAGGAAAAAAGUCCCAAGAGCAGUCUUCUCUUCAGAAGCUUUGAUGGAGACUGUGGGUGCAUUCGCGGUCCCAGCUGGAGGCUGCUCUUUUGGGAUGUUUGGAGGAUGGGUCAGCUUUCCAGUUGUAAAAGCAUUUGUUGACUUAUUUAGUAUGAGUUCGCGUUCUUUUUUCUGCAAAAUAUAAGAAGGUAAAGAUAUGUCACCUUUCAGCUCCUGGAUAAGGUCUCACAGUCUGUCUUCAAAAGAGACAAUGAACAUGAGCUCGGUGCUGGGAGAGGACAGGCCUCUUGCAAACCUAGAAUCCCGCAGCAGAUAGGUGUGGGUGAGCACGAGUCCUUAUUGAUGUUAGUGUUUAGUAUUUCUCAGGAACCUACUGUAACCUGAAUUAAGAUCACUGUAACAAUCAUUUCUUUAUUUAAGUGAGCCCUUGAGAGUGAAUACUCUAUGCAGUUUGCUUUUUUUUUAAUUAGGUAUUUAUUUCAUUUACAUUUCCAAUGCUAUCCCAAAAGUCCCCCACACGCUCUCCCACCCACUCCCCCACCCACCCACUCUCACUUCUUGGCCCUGGCGUUCCCUAUACUGAGGCAUAUAAAGUUUGCAUGACCAAUGGGCCUCUCUUUCCACUAAUGGCUGACUAGGCCAUCUUCUGAUACGUAUGCAGCUAGAGACAUGAAAAACAUUAUAAAGAAUGACCUUUAGAGAAUAAUUAAAGGGAGAGUGAUUUGAAAUGCUGACUACAGUAAAAAGUCCUUGGUGCAAGGUGUAUCUCAAAAAGGGCUCCCAAGAGUCAGCCAUGCAUCUGCUUUCAACAGCACAAUGAAAAUGUCUUUUAUUGUUGAGUAUCAUUUCUUUUCAGAAUGUGUAAUUAUGUCUUUUUGAUGGGCAUAUGAGCAGUCUCCAGUUGGGACUAUUCUGGAUUCAGCAAAUGUCUUGUGCAUGCUGUCUUGUGUUUUGGUUUGUUUCUUUGUUUUAAUUGUAUAUGGAAUUCUAGAACAGGUUAUAAACUUAAUGUGUAAAAAUCAGAACUGUGGUUACAUUUAGAGAGGUGAGAACACAAGCUGUUUAGAGAUAUAUAGAGUUUCCUAAUUACUAAUGAUGUGAUAAUUUUGGGGACACAGGAGUGUGUAUUUGCAGGAACUAAACAAAGAUGUGCCUGUUUGUGUACUUUAUGUUGGAUAAAUUUUCCUCCAAGGGAAUUAAAUAAAUAACUCACACU